AAGCUAAGCACAUAGCGCAGACAUUCCCUACACACACCCUCAGUGUUUAUAGGUUCCAGAGGAGCCCCGGGACCGGCUACGAUGAUCUGUGUCCUGCUGGUAGCCGGGCACGGCACCGUGUUAGAGGCCCAGAUUAAGAAUGAUGAAACAGGCCUGUACAGCCACCUGAGCGGGGUACCUAAGGCCUUGCUUCCUGGAAUUGGAGGAAAGAAGAUCCUUGACUUUUGGUGGGAAACUGUCAACAUGCGCCAGCUGUUCACAGAGGUCUAUCUGGUUACCAAUGCUGAUAAGUACAAGCACUACGAGCGCUGGGCCACAGCUACCGACUUCCCUGUGGAAAAUAUCAUAAAUGACGGCAGUACUACGCUGGAGGAUCGCCUCGGGGCCGUGGCUGACCUGGAGUUGGUCGUACGCAGCCGGAAGCUGCAGGACGACAUUAUGGUGAUUGCUGGAGACAUGCUGUGUGCAGACCAAAACUUUGACAUUGCUCAAGUUAUUCGCUUCUUCAGGUCAAAGCCUGGUGAGCUGAUCAUAUACUACGAGCUGGAAGAAGGAGAGAAGAGCAGCUCCAGAGGCAUCAUAGAGGUCUGCCAUGAUUCCCACAGGGUAACUCGCUUCUUGGAAAAGCCACAGGAAGGGCAGACGGCGUCCCAGCUAGCCAGCGUGGUGUUCUACUGCAUUCAGAGGGACACGCUGUCCUACAUGUCGGACUUCCUGAGCCAGCAGCCUCAGACCGUGGGCAGGGCUUUUGGACAGUUCUGGGAGUGGCUCAUCAAUGAGAAGCAGCGCCACGUGUUUGGUAUGAAGCUUCCUACUGGCUUCCAGCUGAUCGGACAAGUGGGACUGUCAGACUACACCAAGUGGCUCACCCACUACUCCACCAAGCAGCAAGGCAACCCUGCUAAACCUAUUACAUGCCGGUCAUACGCCAGGGUGGGACUAAUGGGGAAUCCCUCAGAUGGCUUCAAUGGAAAAACAAUCGCCAUGACCAUCGCUAACUUCUGGGCUGAGGUUACUCUGCUGGAGACCCAGACUUUGGUUUUAGUCCCUCAUCCACUCAACGACCCCACAGAGUUUGGCAGCCUGCAAGAUCUGUUCUGUAUCAGCAGGAAGGAAGGGUACCUGGGGGGUCUUCGACUGCUACAGGCGACAUGUAAGAAGUUUUACCAGUUCUGCUCCAAACAAGGGAUUGCUUUGACAAAGCAGAACUUCACCCUGAAGUACGACACCAACAUUCCCCGACAAGUGGGCCUUGCUGGAAGCAGUGCCAUCGUCUCAGCUACUCUGAAGUGUCUCAUGAAGUUCUACAACAUCACAGAUAAUGAUCUUCCCAAACCAAUCAGAGCCAACUUCAUCCUCGAUGUGGAGACGGAUGAGCUGUCCAUUACUGCUGGGCUGCAGGACCGAGUGGUACAGGUGUAUGAAGGCUUAGUGUACAUGGAUUUUAGCAAGGAGCUCAUGGAAGAGCACGGCUUCGGAGCCUACAUUCCUAUGGACAUGAGUGAACUUCCACCGUUCUGGCUGGCCUACCUGAGCGACCCCAGUGACUCUGGCCGUAUCCAUAGCAACAUCCGACAGCGCUGGCUCAGUGGCCUGCAUUUCCAAACUGUCGCUCGAUGUUCGAAGCAGAAGUCUCUCAGCACGUGUAAGCUGCUCCUACAAAUGCUCUGCUGCUGCUCACCUCACAGACAGGAUCUUUUAAAAGACGUUGAAUUGUGUCCAUGGUCUGAACAAUAACAUGUUAAAAAUGACCAGAAUAAAACAUUUGAGACCUCAUCAGUCAGACAGAUCCACCCAGGAAGUCUCUCUGUCCCAGUAUAAGGUAAAUGGGAUUGUUUUAAACUGAAAGUGUGUUUGCCAGAAAACACAAAUGCACACCGGUCCAUGCAUUAGACUGCUUCUGUGUUUUGUGUCGUCCUGCAGGGGAGCUGCUGGUCAUUGAAGCCAUGAGGAGAUUUGCUGAGCUGACUGAUCAGGCCAGCCAAAUACUCACAGCAUGAAGCAAAGAUGAAAACCAGAACAUGCAGGGGUCAGAGCGGUUACCAUGGUGAUCCGACCACUCCUCAGUGUGUUACCUGUGGAAGUUCAUGGUCUGGCGCUGCCACGUGUUGAGGCUUUAUUUCCUCCACCGCUGCCAGCACAAAUGUACCCGUGCCAGCUUGUGGCAUUCACAGCGUUUUAAUAUAAAGUUUGGUGUCACGUGACUUCCUCCCUCAGGACGGCUUUCCGGGACAAGGACUGGAGCCGCCUGGUUCAACUGAUGGACCAGAACUUUGAGCUGCGCCGGUCUAUUUACACCGAUGACUGUCUCGGCCCCGGGAAUCUCAAGAUGGUUGAGCUGGCGAGGCAGUUUGGAUCGGCAGUGAAGUUACCCGGCAGUGGGGGGGCGGUGGUGGGUCUGUGCCUGGACCAGGCGAGGCUGGUGGAGAUGAGGCGAGCUUUCCAGGAGGCAGGCUGUGUGUUCUGUGUCAUCUCACCAUAUAACCCAUCUGCCAGCGCUGUCGGUGG